GGAUGUGACAUCAUCUGCGGCGACGGCACGGUGAGGAACACCGGUGGGUCGGCCCGGAGGGUCGGCGAAUCCGGGGCGGUCCCGCCACUGUGAUCCGUCCGGCGGGGUCGCCGGGCGGAGAGCCAGACACUCGCCUCGCCGUCUCGUGCCGCC
rnacentral:ncRNA from 13 species